rnacentral:rRNA from 1 species
CGGCUCAGUAACACGUGGAUAACCUACCCUUGAGACGGGGAUAAACCCGGGAAACUGGGUAUAAUACCCGAUAGAUCUCGACUGCUGGAAUGCAUCGAGCUUGAAAGCUCCGGCGCUCAAGGAUGGGUCUGCGGCCUAUCAGGUAGUAGUGGGUGUAGCGUACCUACUAGCCUACGACGGGUACGGGUUGUGAGAGCAAGAGCCCGGAGAUGGAUUCUGAGACACGAAUCCAGGCCCUACGGGGUGCAGCAGGCGCGAAAACUUUACAAUGCUGGAAACAGCGAUAAGGGGACCUCGAGUGCCAGGUUACAAAUCUGGCUGUCGUGAUGCCUAAAAAGCAUUGCAUAGCAAGGGCCGGGCAAGACCGGUGCCAGCCGCCGCGGUAACACCGGCGGCUCGAGUGGUAACCGUUAUUAUUGGGUCUAAAGGGUCUGUAGCCGGCCGGAUAAGUCUCUUGGGAAAUCUGGCAGCUUAACUGUCAGGCUUUCAGGAGAUACUGUCUGGCUCGAGGCCGGGAGAGGUGAGAGGUACUUCAGGGGUAGGGGUGAAAUCUUGUAAUCCUUGAAGGACCACCAGUGGCGAAGGCGUCUCACCAGAACGGACCUGACGGCAAGGGACGAAAGCUAGGGGCACGAACCGGAUUAGAUACCCGGGUAGUCCU